GUCAUGAGGAGGUCGCAAGCCAACUCUACCUUACAAACAAAUCUCACACAAGUAUACCUUUUACAAGGACAUGCAUUACAUACAUAAUCGUUUACUUGUGAUUGGCUAAGACAACAUAAAGUCUAAACAAUAAUACAUUUUUGAUAGAUAAGUGGGUAUAUCGCCGUUAAUCAGAAUAUUUGUCGUCCAUUUCCGAGAUUUAAGUCCGUGGUGACCUUCUUCCAGGGUCCGAGAAUGUUUUAGGCUAUAUCACAAAGUUCAGAACCUGCAAAGAAUAUCAAACGCACGCACACACAGAACACUGACAAAUAACAGUUCUCUUCGAGGCUGAAGAAGGCCUGAGCUAAUUAUCAGAAGAGCAUUCCACCUUAACAGGCUGAUAAAACAUUUCACUCCAGGAAAGCAGGAACUAUAAUAUGCCCCUUUACUCCACCCCCUAAAGAAAUACACGAGAUGUUCACUUAAUGAAAAUAAGGUGAAAUUAUGUAUAAAUUGACCCUCAAACUUAUACAAGUCAACUAAGACAGAUAUAUAGAUGCAGAUAUGUGGAUAUUGUUGUGAAAUAUGCAAUUAUUCUAUUCUAAUCAUGGCUUCUAGUAUAUGAAGUAUUUCUGGGUCAUAGUAAACCACAAUUGUAACUAAUAAAAAGUGGUUUUAUAAUGAAAGGUACCAUAAGUAGUUGUUAAACAAUUUAUUAAGAAUGUGUUUACUGUAAAACACUUGUAUUAAUAAUCAUUGUAACCAUAUAUUGAGAAAAUAAUUUAUUAAGAAAAACACCUCAACUUGUUUUAUAAAGAUUUUUAUUAUGAAGCUGGUUUAUUAAGGAAAAUACUGUAACUUCUUUUAUAAAUAUUCUUAUUAUGAAAAUGGUUUAUAAAGAAAAACAUACCACACUGAAUGUUGUAAGCAUUUAUUAAGCAGAUGAUGGUGGCAGAGUAGAGAGGAGUUGAAAAUGUAUUAGAAAGAGCUUUGCAAAAGAAAGGAGAAAAAUGCCAUCAUUACCGUCUACGUGUUGCAGACGAGAUACAGAAGAUACAGCGAUGAUGGAAAGGUCCAGAAAAAGAGGACAAAGAGUUUUAUAUGCAAAAUUCAAGAUUUUGUGUUUGACCAAUUGGCUGUAAAAGACUGAAUGUAUGCAGAGGGAGUUUCCAGGAGGGGAUUUCUGAACAUGUCAAAAAGUUGAUGGACUUUAAAAAGGACUGUAAAGAAAUGUCCAGCCAGAGGCAGAUUCACCAAGGACGUCUCCGGUGUUAGAUACCUUGCCAUUGCACCUCAUGAAGUUAAAAGCUUGUAAAUUAUUUGGUUUUGAUUUACUUACAAUAUAUAUAUAUAAUAUUAU